GCUUUCAUGGUGUAAUAGUAGCACACUCAGCUCGUAUUCGAGAGGUCCAGGUACGAGUCCCGGCGAGGGCA
rnacentral:tRNA from 1 species